GCCAGGCAUGGUGGCUGGUGUCUGUAGUUCCAGCUACUCAGGAGGCUGAGGCAGGAGAAUUGCUUGAGCCCGGGAGCUCUGGGCUGCAGUGCACUCUGCCGAUUGGGUGUCUCCACUAAGUUUGACAUCAAUAUGGUGACCUCCUGGGUGCAGGGGACCAUCAGGUUACCUAAGGAGGGUGAACCAGCCCAGGUUGGAAACGGAGCAAGUCAAAACUCCUGUGCUGAUCAGUAGUGGGAUUAUGCUUGUGAAUAGCCACUGCAUUCCAGCCUGGGCAACAUAGUAAGACCCCAUCCCUA
rnacentral:SRP_RNA from 1 species